rnacentral:rRNA from 1 species
GUACGACUACAUAUCAGGCAUAUCAAUAAGCGGAGGAAAAGAAACUAACUAGGAUUCCCUCAGUAACGGCGAGUGAAGCGGGAAGAGCUCAGAUUUGAAAUCUUCAAGGUUUUACCUUGACGAAUUGUAGUUUAAAGAAGUGUUUUCUGUUGGUGUUUUGGUAAAAGUUCUUUGGAAUAGGACAUCAUAGAGGGUGAGAAUCCCGUAUUUGACCAUUACUUCCAGCGUUGUGAUACACUUUCAAAGAGUCGGAUUGCUUGGGAAUGCAGUCCAAAAUGGGUGGUAAAUUUCAUCUAAAGCUAAAUAUUGGCGAGAGACCGAUAGCGAACAAGUACCGUGAGGGAAAGAUGAAAAGAACUUUGAAAAGAGAGUUAAACAGUACGUGAAAUUGUCAAAAGGGAAGCGUUUGACACCAGUGUUGUUUUUCCGAAAAUCAAUUACGAAUGUUUUGUUUUUGAGGAGUUAUGACUUCAUCGGCUUGCUCCUUUCUUUAUGAAACUUUCUUAAUGCACUUUUCGGUUAACAAGUCAACAUCAAUUUCUUUUGUUGUAAAAGAGUCAUUGGAAGGUGGCUUUCACUUCGGUGAAAGUGUUUAUAGCCUUUGGCUUCUGCAAUCGGAGAGAUUGAGGUCUGCAGCGUAGAUCCUUCGGGGUUAGAUACGUAGAUGCUAAGUUAUAGUUUUUCAUAGACAACAUGUUGACUAUGAUUAAUCAUGUAGCUUACUCGCUUAUGCUAUUUUACCUACGCUUAGGAUGUUGAAUCUGUGCGAGACUAC